UUAUAUGGAGAGUUUGAUCCUGGCUCAGGACGAACGCUGGCGGCGUGCCUAAUACAUGCAAGUCGAGCGGACGGAUGGGAGCUUGCUCCCAGACCGUCAGCGGCGGACGGGUGAGUAACACGUGGGCAACCUGCCUGUAAGACUGGGAUAACUCCGGGAAACCGGGGCUAAUACCGGAUAAUUCUUUUCCUCACAUGAGGAAAAGCUGAAAGAUGGCAUCUCGCUAUCACUUACAGAUGGGCCCGCGGCGCAUUAGCUAGUUGGUGAGGUAACGGCUCACCAAGGCAACGAUGCGUAGCCGACCUGAGAGGGUGAUCGGCCACACUGGGACUGAGACACGGCCCAGACUCCUAC
rnacentral:rRNA from 1 species